GAUGAACGCUGGCGGCGUGCCUAAUACAUGCAAGUCGAACGGUAAGGCCCUUGGGGGUACACGAGUGGCGAACGGGUGAGUAACACGUGGGUGAUCUGCCCUGCACUUCGGGAUAAGCCUGGGAAACUGGGUCUAAUACCGGGUAGGACCACUGCCUGCAUGGGUGGUGGUGGAAAGCUUUUGCGGUGUGGGAUGGGCCCGCGGCCUAUCAGCUUGUUGGUGGGGUGAUGGCCUACCAAGGCGACGACGGGUAGCCGGCCUGAGAGGGUGACCGGCCACCCUGGGACUGAGAUACGGCCCAGACUCCUACGGGAGGCAGCAGUGGGGAAUAUUGCACAAUGGGCGCAAGCCUGAUGCAGCGACGCCGCGUGAGGGAUGACGGCCUUCGGGUUGUAAACCUCUUUCAGCACCGACGAAGCGCAAGUGACGGUAGGUGCAGAAGAAGGACCGGCCAACUACGUGCCAGCCGCCGCGGUAA
rnacentral:rRNA from 1 species